rnacentral:rRNA from 1 species
GAUGAACGCUGGCGGCGUGCUUAACACAUGCAAGUCGAGCGAUGAAGUUUCCUUCGGGAAACGGAUUAGCGGCGGACGGGUGAGUAACACGUGGGUAACCUGCCUCAUAGAGUGGAAUAGCCUUCCGAAAGGAAGAUUAAUACCGCAUAACGUUGAAAGAUGGCAUCAUCAUUCAACCAAAGGAGCAAUCCGCUAUGAGAUGGACCCGCGGCGCAUUAGCUAGUUGGUGGGGUAACGGCCUGCCAAGGCGACGAUGCGUAGCCGACCUGAGAGGGUGAUCGGCCACAUUGGGACUGAGACACGGCCCAGACUCCUACGGGAGGCAGCAGUGGGGAAUAUUGCACAAUGGGGGAAACCCUGGUGCAGCAACGCCGCGUGAGUGAUGAAGGUUUUCGGAUCGUAAAGCUCUGUCUUUGGGGAAGAUAAUGACGGUACUCAAGGAGGAAGCCACGGCUAACUACGUGCCAGCAGCCGCAGUAA